GAUGAACGCUGGCGGCGUGCUUAACACAUGCAAGUCGAACGGAGUGCCUUUGAAAGAGGAUUCGUCCAAUUGAUAAGGUUACUUAGUGGCGGACGGGUGAGUAACGCGUGAGGAACCUGCCUUGGAGUGGGGAAUAACACAGUGAAAAUUGUGCUAAUACCGCAUAAUGCAGUUGGGUCGCAUGACUCUGACUGCCAAAGAUUUAUCGCUCUGAGAUGGCCUCGCGUCUGAUUAGCUAGUUGGUGGGGUAACGGCCCACCAAGGCGACGAUCAGUAGCCGGACUGAGAGGUUGGCCGGCCACAUUGGGACUGAGACACGGCCCAGACUCCUACGGGAGGCAGCAGUGGGGAAUAUUGGGCAAUGGGCGCAAGCCUGACCCAGCAACGCCGCGUGAAGGAAGAAGGCUUUCGGGUUGUAAACUUCUUUUCUUAGGGACGAAGCAAGUGACGGUACCUAAGGAAUAAG
rnacentral:rRNA from 1 species